UACGGAGGAUCCAAGCGUUAUCCGGAAUCAUUGGGUUUAAAGGGUCCGUAGGUGGAUAAUUAAGUCAGAGGUGAAAGCUAUGAGCUUAACUUAUAAAUUGCCUUUGAUACUGAUAGUCUUGAAUUAGGUUGAGGUUAGCGGAAUGUGGCAUGUAGCGGUGAAAUGCAUAGAUAUGCCAUAGAACACCAAUUGCGAAGGCAGCUUACUAACAUGUAACUGACGCUGAGGGACGAAAGCGUGGGGAGCGAACAGG
rnacentral:rRNA from 1 species